AACUAACAAGGAUUCCCCUAGUAACGGCGAGUGAAGCGGGAAGAGCUCAAAUUUGUAAUCUGGCAGCCUCUGGCUGUCCGAGUUGUAGUCUGGAGAAGCAUUUUCCGUGCCAGACCAUGUACAAGUCCCUUGGAACAGGGCGUCGUAGAGGGUGAGAAUCCCGUCUUUGACAUGGACUACUGGUGCUCUGUGAUGUGCUCUCGAAGAGUCGAGUUGUUUGGGAAUGCAGCUCAAAAUGGGUGGUAAAUUCCAUCUAAAGCUAAAUAUGGGCAAAAGACCGAUAGUGAACAAGUACCGUGAGGGAAAGAUGAAAAGCACUUUGGAAAGAGAGUUAAACAGUAUGUGAAAUUGUUGAAAGGGAAACAUUUCAAGUCAGUCACGUCUUCUGAGACUCAGCCAGGUAAUUAACCUGGUGCACUUCUCAGUGUGACGGGCCAGCAUCAAUUUCAAUUGUCAGAGAAAGGCUUGGGGAAGGUGGCACCUUUGGGUGUGUUAUAGCCCCUUGCUGUAUGUGAUAGUUGGGAUUGAGGACCGCAGCAUGCCUUCACAGGCCGGGGUUCGCCCACGUAAC
rnacentral:rRNA from 1 species